rnacentral:rRNA from 1 species
AGUGAACGCUGGCGGUAGGCCUAACACAUGCAAGUCGAACGGCAGCACAGUAAGAGCUUGCUCUUACGGGUGGCGAGUGGCGGACGGGUGAGGAAUACAUCGGAAUCUACUUUUUCGUGGGGGAUAACGUAGGGAAACUUACGCUAAUACCGCAUACGACCUACGGGUGAAAGCAGGGGAUCUUCGGACCUUGCGCGAUUGAAUGAGCCGAUGUCGGAUUAGCUAGUUGGCGGGGUAAAGGCCCACCAAGGCGACGAUCCGUAGCUGGUGUGAGAGGAUGGUCAGCCACACUGGAACUUAGACACCGUCCAGACUCCUACGGGAGGCAGCAGUGGGGAAUAUUGGACAAUGGGCGCAAGCCUGAUCCAGCCAUACCGCGUGGGUGAAGAAGGCCUUCGGGUUGUAAAGCCCUUUUGUUGGGAAAGAAAAGCAGCAGGUUAAUACCCCGCUGUUCUGACGGUACCCAAAGAAUAAGCACCGGCUAACUUCGUG